GACGAAGGUGGCAAGCGUUGUUCGGAAUCACUGGGCUUAAAGAGCACGUAGGCGGCCUGUUAAGCGCUGUGUGAAAUCCCCCGGCUCAACCGGGGAAUUGCUCGGCGUACUGGCAGGCUUGAGGCAAGUAGGGGCGCGUGGAACUCUUGGUGGAGCGGUGAAAUGCGUAGAUAUCAAGAGGAACGCCGGAGGCGAAAGCGAUGCGCUGGGCUUGUCCUGACGCUGAGGUGCGAAAGCCAGGGGAGCAAACGGG
rnacentral:rRNA from 1 species